UUACGGCCAUAUCACGUUGAAACACCGUUUCCCGUACAAUCACUGAAGUUAAGCAACGUCGAACCUUGCCAGUAACUAGAUGGGUAACCGAUUGGGAAUAACAGUUGCUGUAAU